CAGAGGCCAAGAUUUCAUUUCCACAUUGAUCCACGUGGUCCUGAACUGCAGGCGAUGAAGACUGAACCUUCCAGAUCCAACAGGAGCUGAAGUGGUGUGCACCCUGGAGUCAGACCCACACACGUCCAUCCUGAGCACUCAUCUCAGUGCAACGUUCUUGCAGAGGGACAGCAGAGGAUGGGGAGGGGCCUGGUUUUCCGAGGCCGGCCAUGGGCAAGGGCAGGUGACGUGGUGAAGUCAUCUGUACUGCAGCUCAUACGGCAGGUGAAAGAAGGGAUUCCACCCAGAGUUUGCAGAUUCCCCUCUCUGAAGUCUUAGAGUAGCACCAAAUACCCUCCGGAAACCUCUGUGAGUCUUAUGGCCCUGGAAGAGGAGGCCCCUUACCUUCUAAUUACUUGUUCAAAACAUUAAAACAUUCUAUGAAGAAAGAUGCAGCUUUGCCCACAGGGCCCCCUGCCUCUAGGCCUGUACAGAAUUGGUUAGGGCAUUGCCACGCUGAUUUAAGCAGCGUCUGUUCAUAUACGACAUAACAGUGUACGUGUUUGUUUUCCUACAGUGGAAAAAUCGGAAUCUGGGGCAGGAACUUCAGUGUUAAAACACUGUUUCAUUAGAAAACUGGAUUCAGCAUCUCUCGUUUUAAUUUAGCACCUCUCGGGCCCUCGGCUGGCUGUGAAAUCACACUAAACACACACAAAUGUCGUCUCAAUCUUUGUGGAGCCUCUCCUAUUCCUGGCGGGCUGAGUCAUUUUUAUGACUGUGAGAUUUUUUUUUUCCACAACCAGGAAUCUCAUGGAAUCGAUUAUGCUGCCUCUGUUUUCACCUGGGCCUUCCAAACCCAGAGGUGGCAUGUUUAAUUGGGGAGAUUCAUCAUCUUCUAGUGGAAGCCCCUUGCUGAGAACUGUACCCAGCUAUUUGGCCUCAGCCUGUCCUGUCACCGUCUCACCAGCUCUGUCUCCCACAGCAGUGACCUUUGGCAGCCUGCUUCCCCCGAUUAGGCUUUCAGGGGAGAGACCCCCACUUGCCUGGGGCACCUGGGGCUGGGUGUCAUGUGGCAGUUGCUCUCUGGCCUGCCCUCCGCAUGCUGCUCCAACUUGCUCUUCACUGUGGCCUUCUGCUGCCAGUUUCCUCCACAUGGACAUGAGGGGAAAUUGCUCUAAAUCGUCCUGCAACAUAGGCUGCCUCAUAUUGCAAGUGUAUUUCCCGGCCUUGAGCAUGUGCAAAUAAUCCAAGCCCUUUUCUGUUGGAAUGAGGAUUCAAGGAGAAAAGUUAAAAAAAAAAAUUGUAAUGUUGUAUCUUGGGUUGCAUUUUGGAACAGUAAAGGAUAUUAAAGUAAAAUGCAGUGACGUGCAGAGUUGGUAGUUAAUAUGGCUGUUCUGGUGUAACUGUUGCCUUGCUUUUGACAAAUGCCUCCUGGUAUGAGUUUAUGGCCUCAGAAAAAUGUAAGGCUUCUCUUUUGCUCCCCACUUGCACUCUUCAAAAUGGCAGUGGAUCUGUUCGAGGAACAGGUUUGGAGUCAGCCUGGCACUUGGCUCAAUUAACCACGUCUUCGAGGCACUUGACCUUGAGGAAGUCAUUCCAACCUCCUGCAAACUCACCUCGGAGCGAUGUGGUUGUGAGGAUUACAUCAGAUAGCCUGGGGAAGGCUUGCCCAGGAACUGGGAGCCUCCUGUUCAACCCCCAUCCCAACUUUCU
rnacentral:lncRNA from 1 species